rnacentral:rRNA from 1 species
GAUCAACGCUGGCGGCGCACAUAAGACAUGCAAGUUGAACGGACUUAAUCGAAAUAUUUAUAUUUUGAAGCGGUUAGUGGCGGACUGGUGAGUAACGCGUAAGGAACCUGCCUAUUAGAGGGGAAUAACAGUGAGAAAUCAUUGCUAAUACCGCAUAUGCCAUAGAUAUCACAUGAUAACAGUGGGAAAGGAGCAAUCCGCUAAUAGAUGGCCUUGCGUCUGAUUAGAUAGUUGGUGGGGUAACGGCCUACCAAGUCGACGAUCAGUAGCCGGACUGAGAGGUUGAACGGCCACAUUGGGACUGAGAUACGGCCCAGACUCCUACGGGAGGCAGCAGUCGGGAAUAUUGCGCAAUGGAGGAAACUCUGACGCAGUGACGCCGCGUAUAGGAAGAAGGUUUUCGGAUUGUAAACUAUUGUCGUUAGGGAAGAGAAAGGACAGUACCUAAGGAGGAAGCUCCGGCUAACUACGUGC